rnacentral:tRNA from 2 species
AUUUAUAUAGUUUAAAUAAAACAUUACAUUUUCAUUGUAAAAAUAAAAUAAAAUAUUUUUAUAAAUA